UGUUUGGACCCAUGCUGAGCAGUUAAACCCCUCUCAUCUGCAAACUCCUCCCAAGAACUCCAGUUGAAGCAUGGAUUGCAGCAUUCCAACACUCUGCAUAUGCCAUGAUUGCCACCCAGGAGCCACUUGAACUUGGGACACCUAUCUUCCUGGAAGAAUUGGAGAAAAAUGGGUAUUAACUCUUUGAAAGUUUAGUUGAAUUCAAUAGCAGAGUCAUCUGAUCCAGGGCUUUUGUUUCAGAGGAAGCUUUUGAUUAUGUUUCAGUUUCCUUAAUUAUAAAAAAACCUAUCAGAUUUUCUACUUCAUUCUGGUUCAGUCUUAAAUUGUAGUAUAUUUCUAAAAUGUUUUCCAUUUCUUCCAGGUUAUCCAAUUUGUUGCAACUAGAUGCUUAUAAUAAACUCCUGUGUUCCUG